CACGAAAGGGGAAAGGCUGGCACAACUGGUUGUUCUAUGGCCACAAGGAGAAGCAUGACAAGAGAGAAGAGAGGCCACUAGAUGGAAAGAACUCUCAGGAGAAGAGUGGAGGACCAAAUUGGGGAGUUAGGUGAGAGGAGACGAGUUCAGACAGAGAGGUUGGAGAGCCUGAUGAAAGACCUCAACAAAGGGUGAGGUCCUAAGAGCUUACUUACAGGAUCCUUAGUCCCAGAAGCUUCUGAGUUCAGGGGUGGGGAUGGCUGAGACAAAGAUUAGAGAAUGCAAAUUCUGCAGGAGUGAAGACCGGUACAGAAGCGAAGUGCAGGAAGAAGCCGCUGAGACAAGAAGAGAUGGCUGAGACCUGGACCAAAGCGGAAGCGGUUGAAAGAGGGAGACACGCGGUCUAGGAGAUGCAGGCAGAAUACAAGACUAUGAUGAGCAGCCUCACAACACCAGGGUUACAUGACCCUUUCCAAUAACAACAGCACGGGGACAGAAAGUCAUGUGUCAUUCCUUAUAAAGCAGAAAAAGAAAGCAAAAAGAACA